GACGAACGCUGGCGGCGUGCUUAACACAUGCAAGUCGAACGAAGAGCGAUGGAAGCUUGCUUCUAUCAAUCUUAGUGGCGAACGGGUGAGUAACGCGUAAUCAACCUGCCCUUCAGAGGGGGACAACAGUUGGAAACGACUCCUAAUACCGCAUACGAUCUAAUCUCGGCAUCGAGGAUAGAUGAAAGGUGGCCUCUACAUGUAAGCUAUCACUGAAGGAGGGGAUUGCGUCUGAUUAGCUAGUUGGAGGGGUAACGGCCCACCAAGGCGAUGAUCAGUAGCCGGUCUGAGAGGAUGAACGGCCACAUUGGGACUGAGACACGGCCCAGACUCCUACGGGAGGCAGCAGUGGGGAAUCUUCCGCAAUGGACGAAAGUCUGACGGAGCAACGCCGCGUGAGUGAUGACGGCCUUCGGGUUGUAAAGCUCUGUUAAUCGGGACGAAAGGCCUUCUUGCGAAUAGUGAGAAGGAUUGACGGUACCGGAAUAGAAAGCCACGGCUAACUACGUG
rnacentral:rRNA from 1 species